UGCUUUUUAGAUUUCACACAUUUCAUCAGGAUACUCUGCCAAUUGUAAACCAGUUUAGUGAAAAAGGCAUGGUUCUGAAAGUUGAUGGAAGUAAAGAUGCUGAUGCAGUUUUUCAAACAAUUCAAGAACUGUUCCGUCAGUAUGCAUAGAAAAGCAAGAUCUGUCCUAUUUUUAAUUAUUUUGUUGCAUUUAUCAGAAAAUGCAGUUGAAAAUUUUCUGCUCUUCUAAUACAAACUCUAUUAUCUUAAAAAGAUAUAAAGGAAUUUUACCAUAGUUAAAGCUAGUUAUCUGUUACUAUCCAGACUUUUAUACGUAUAUAUAGUUAUUUGACUGUGUUUUACAUUGCAAUGUGGUAUCUAUUGCUCCUAUGUAACAAUGUUUCAAUUUUAUUUGUAUUUGAUUUUCCAUAUAAUGUAUAUAGAAUUAGUUUUUACUGCUUGUGGCAACUGUUCUGUUUUGCUGUUAAUUAUGCAUGUUCAUGACUCUUCUACUUAAAUAUUGAGUGAUGUUUUAUAAAAAGGGAACUAUAUAAAAACAAUAAAUUGAUAUGUGAAUAGAAAUGAUUAUUCAAAGAUAAUGCAUGCAAAUUUUCAUCAAAACAUAAAAAUUUUGUAUUUUCUUUUGAAGGUUGCUUAAAUACUAUUAUAGUGGUUAAACUCAAUUUGAGUAUAUUCAUAGCUGCAAGUAGUCCUGGUUUUCAACAUAUCUCCUAGUGUCCUGAAUAUCCUGGAACACUGAAUCUUGUACUUUUCAUUUUAAGCUUUUACUAAGGAAAAUUUUUCCCACCAUUAGAUAAAAUUUAUUAAAUAAAUGAAACUUAAAUUGUGUAAAUUCCAUCCCACCUGUAGUGAUUUUGAGCAUAAAUUUUCUUAUUAAAUUGUAUUUAGUCCGAAUUGUUUUAAUUUGAUGUAGACAUCUGUAUAAUUUAUUAUGAGGAUUCAAACAAUCGGUUAAUAUUUAUAUUAAUUUUUGUUUUACAACAAUAUAAAUGUUACAUUUUUAAGUUUAUUCAUACACUAAUAUAUGUAUAAAUUAAUUAUUAGCUUUCCUUCCAUUUUUUCUCUAAAUAAGAAUGUUAGGAAAAUUGCAAAAUGAGAUUAGCCAAAGAACAAAAAAUGUUGGUGAAACAUUAAUAUAUUUCAUAUCAGAAUCAUACAGAUAAUUCAAUAACCUGAAUCAUCAUGCAUUAUAAAGUCAGUUUGCAGUUCCUUAGGAAUGGCAUUUUCAUACAGUGCAAAAACUCCCAUUUUUUUUAUAUUCGGCUGUUAGCAGCUAUGGUGUAUUAAAAUUGUUAUUUUUGAGCAGUUGUAUUUUGAAGUAAAGGCAAUAAAUUCUAAUCAAAUUUUCUUGAUAAAUUACAAUUUUUUAUAACAACUGCAAUGAAUUAUGUAAAUUGCUUGCAGUAUUGCCAAGGUAAAGUAAUAAUACUAAACUAUAAUUAAAAAUUAAAUACUUCUGAAUACUAAGUAUAUUGAGGUACAAGCAAAGAUUUUUAUAUCUAGUUAUUCAUUUUUUAUAAAGGAAAUACCAGAAGUAUGGUUAAAAUUAAAUUUUUGUAAUAUCUAAUAGCUAUAAAUUACAGUAAUUUCAUCUUAAAUAUAAAACAUUUAUUAUUAGAAUUUUCCAAACAAGCAUUUUUUUUUUUUUUUUUUUUUUUUUUUUUUUUUUUUUUUUUUUUUUUGAAAAAUGUAAUUUUGUUUUUUCAUUGAUUCAUUAAAUGCAUCAUUACUUGGUAAACACUAGUUCCUUUAUUUCAGUCUUCCAAAGUGAUUGCAAUAAAGUUUAAAAAAUUAUCUUUUAUUAGGCAAAUUAUUUUGUGUUCUUAAAGAGGAGAUAAAAAAUGCAAUUCCAAUUAUUGUCACUUCUCCCCCAACUAAUCUUAACAUUCCAUCACAUCCAUGUCUAAAUUUUAAUUUAUUUUUGAAAUAAUAAUUGCACAUUUCUAAAAUAUUUCAUGUUUAUCAAAUUAUGUCAAAUCACUUGUGCAAAAUGUAAUUCUUAUCAUGAUUGUAUAAUUUUUUACUGCGCCAAAUAUAAUUACAAUCAUUAAAUGUUUGUGAAGUAUCUUUUUUUAUUUAUUGAUGUAUGAAAAAUUAGCAGCACAUGCAAUAUUGUUAUAAAUGGUUCUAUUGAACAAAUGUUAAUCUGUACUUGCUGAAAGUAUUUAUGGGCUUUAAUAUUUAUUUAUAGAAUAGAAAUUAUUCUUAUUGUCUAUAUUAAAUAUUUACAUGGUAAAA